rnacentral:rRNA from 1 species
CACGUAGGCACCAAGCGUUGUCCGGAUUUAUUGGGCGUAAAGGGCGCGUAGGCGGCUCGGCACGUCCGUUGUGAAAUCGCCCGGCUCAACUAGGCGGGGUCAGCGGAUACGGCCGAGCUUGAGCAAGCUAGGGGGCAAUGGAAUUCCCGGUGUAGUGGUGGAAUGCGUAGAUAUCGGGAGGAACACCAGUGGCGAAGGCGGUUGCCUGGAGCUUUGCUGACGCUGAUGCGCGAAAGCGUGGGGAGCGAUCCGG